ACCUGGUUGAUCCUGCCAGUAGUCAUAUGCUUGUCUCAAAGAUUAAGCCAUGCAUGUCUAAGUAUAAACUGCUUUAUACUGUGAAACUGCGAAUGGCUCAUUAAAUCAGUUAUAGUUUGUUUGAUGGUACUUACUACUCGGAUACCCGUAGUAAAUCUAGAGCUAAUACGUGCGUAAAUCCCGACUUCUGGAAGGGACGUAUUUAUUAGAUAAAAGGCCGACCGGGCUUCUGCCCGACUCGCGGUGAAUCAUGAUAACUUCACGAAUCGCAUGGCCUUGUGCCGGCGAUGUUUCAUUCAAAUUUCUGCCCUAUCAACUUUUGAUGGUAGGAUAGAGGCCUACCAUGGUGGUAGGUGAACCUGCGGAAGGAUC
rnacentral:rRNA from 1 species